GUAGCUUGCUUUCCAACUUUUGCUUUUGUUGACUAAUGAUUGACUGUAACUCUGGUAUUGGUGCCAGGGUUUCCUGUCCUUCCCUUCCCUUAACAGUUUUCCUUGUCACCCGUGUAUAUAAAACCCUAUCUUCAGGGAAGAUUGCCUUCGGAGGUAACAGGAGUUAAGAUGAUGACGUAUCUACUUUUCGGUAUGCCAGUUUUAUCAGGAAUAUGCGGUUAUCAGCCCAGGAUCUCUUGGCUGUUGGCUGGGAGCCUGGAUGCUUUUCUUGUGUGUCUUUCUGCAGGGCUGCACAAAUGUCUCCGGGGCAUGGAUGACUUGUUUUCCUCUGAGCGACUUGAAGAGGAGGCCUCAAUAUGUCAGCUUUCAAGAGCCACUUGCCCUGUAUUUUGCUCCUUGGAAAUGGGUUGCUAAGUCCAGUCCACACGAAUGGGAGUCAGAUUCUGCCUUUUGAAGCAAAGAAUACAUUUAGCUUGAAAGCCGUCAUUGAAGGGAAGCCAGCAUCAACGCUGAUGCUUUGUGUAGCCAAGGAUACAGACAUCUUUCAGAUUAAAUCCACAAGGUCAUCAGAACACUUUUUAUACUCGAUUGAAACCAGUUUCCUUCUCGUGUCUACAUGGAAAUCAGUCAUGGAGCUCUUCAUAACAAGACUUAUUAUUUGUUUGUAUUAAAACAAACACAACAACAACAACAACAAACCUCUCUCCUCAGCUGACUUCCUCUUUUGUCCACCUGCUGGCCUUCCAAAGAACAGUUCAGAUGUCACAAAAAGCUCUACACAAUGCUGAUGCUCCAGCCCAGAAAACACAGUGUGCAUCGUUCCAAGGUCCUCUGUUUCCUUAAAAUAUAACCCUGGAGCAGCAGCACCCAUAGGAGAAGUGAGCAUGGCACUAACAGUGACUACCUUUCAACCAGCCAGCCAUUGCCAAGCACCCUAACAGGACCACGGAGAAGACUGCCUGGGGACACAUCCCACUACUGUUUCCCACAGCUCUACAGUAGACUGAAGUAGGCUUUACUCAUAAGGAAGAUAAAAAUGAAGCAAGUAAAAGCAAAGUCUAAACCACACUGGCGUGUUCCUGCACACAUGCUACCAUUUUUUUCGCUGUGGCCCUUGAUAUAAAUGCUUUGCACAGUCCUAAGUCCAUUGAAUUCUUCAGAUAUUGCUGGCAGGGCUUUGGCACGCAGAGGUGCGAGGUAGAAAGUCUUCCCACCCAGGAGGAACCAGUGCAAUGACCCGCAACUGUGGCAAUACAUGUUCUGUUCAUCGAACAAGAGUGAUUUUGUAUUUCACUCCUGAUCAAUAAGAGUGUGACGGCACUGACUGCUGACAGCCCAGACCCAAUGUAAUUUAGCAGAGGGUUUGACUCUUCUUAUACUUUAAAAGCCGCCAAACCUCCUGGGUACCCAACCAAUUAAAGUAGCAAAUGAUCCCGAGAUUAGGAUUCCAGGGCCCAAAGCAAAGGUUUUCAUAAAUGGGACAAUGACAAUGUUCGUAUUGUCUAACUUCAGCCCCCACAGCAUUGCAAAAUUCCUUAGAGCAGUGAAGCAUCAGGUUAAUCACCAAGGUGACCAACCCGAUGGCAGCACAAAGCAUCUCCUGAGGAAUUCCAUCAUCAAUACUGUGUUUUUUAAAUGGUAUGAAGUUUGAGCCACAUAACAGUGCCCCGGAAGAGGGAAAGAUGCCAAUAGCUUGGCCUGUCCUAUCACUCUUUGUGACUCCAAAGAUGGCAGAUAGCAAGCUUUAAAGUCACAUGUGAACCUAGAGACUCGAGGCACCCUGCAGUUUGUCCCCAGGAGUCAAGUGAAACUCCAGUCCUACUCAUCCCAUAAGCUGGACCUCCUGACACUGAUACUUUUUCAUGGGCAGAUCCUUUCUGUACUCUCCACAUCUCCCUUGAGGCUGGAAGCCAUACGCACCUCCCUUAACCUUCUUGACCAUUUUGAAAAGUAACAGUAUAGAGGCAGAGAGAAGGGGAGAAGAAACAUGGCCAAGGGUGUCUCUAGGAUGAACUUCUCUUCCCAGCCACCAGCAAGCAUUUGUGAUGGAAAGUUUAGGUUGAAUGAGAACAAAAGGAAAUGGUGCCUUGUGGCCUCACAGGGACUGAGAAGGGGUGACGUCAUUUUCCUUGCCUGUUGUCCUGUCAUUGAAUGCUUGGGGGUGUACCCAUUUCUGAAAGUGAACCCUGCAACUCAAUGGGGCAUGAUGAGAGCACAUAGGUAAAUGCUUGUGUAAUUUGCAAUAUGGAAUUUGUAAAAGCAUUUGUGGAAAUGUUUAGCUUGAAAGCUUGGCUUGGAUGAUACAGGGGGCCGUUUGUGAUGAAUGAACACGUUGUGAGUAGAAAGAAUACCAGACCGUGAGUGAAAGUUAAUUGCUAGUAGGUUGGAUGAAAAUUAAUAUUUUGUCCUCAUAGAAGCAGAGUUACAACUGGUGGUUGAAUUUUCCAAAUUUCAUUUCUGUGAAAAAGUCUCAAUUGAAAGUUAAAUAUAAAACAUCGUUCUAAAGGGAUGGUAGUGUUUAGCAGGUAAAAGGCUUUUGCUGCCAAGCCUGACAACAUGGAUUCCAUCCUGGGAUGCACACAGUGAAGGAGCAGAACCAAUUCCUACAAGUUGAUUUCUGACUUCCACAUGUGCCAAGCACAUCUCCCAUCCCACACCUUGCUGUGGGAUGGUCUGUAUGUCAAA